CGCGGUAUUUUGACCGUGCGAAGGUAGCAUAAUCAUUAGUCUUUUAAUUGGAGGCUUGUAUGAAGGGUCGGACGAGAAAUUAGCUGUCUUUAUAGGAGAAAUAAAAUUUAACUUUUAAGUGAGAGGGCUUAAAUAUUCUAAAGGGACGAUAAGACCCUAUAAAGUUUGACAUUUUAUUUUUUGACGAAUGAAUUAGGAUAAUUAAAGUUUAUUAAAGAGUUAGAUGUUUUGUUGGGGCGACAAGAAUAUAAAUAAUUUAACUGUUUUUAUGUAGUUACAAAGAUAAUUGAAUUUGUGGUCCUUAUUAAAGAGUGAAGAAUAAAUUACUUUAGGGAUAACAGCGUAAUUUUUUUUGAGAGUUCAUAUCGACAAAAAAGUUUGCGACCUCGAUGUUGAAUUAAAGGUUCUUUAUAAUGUAGCAGUUAUAGAAGAGGGUCUGUUCGACCUUUAA
rnacentral:rRNA from 1 species